rnacentral:rRNA from 1 species
GACGAACGCUGGCGGCGUGCUUAACACAUGCAAGUCGAACGGAAAGGCCCUGCUUGCAGGGUACUCGAGUGGCGAACGGGUGAGUAACACGUGGGUGAUCUGCCCUGCACUUCGGGAUAAGCCUGGGAAACUGGGUCUAAUACCGGAUAGGAGCCAUUUUUAGUGUGAUGGUUGGAAAGUUUUUUCGGUGUAGGAUGAGCUCGCGGCCUAUCAGCUUGUUGGUGGGGUAAUGGUCUACCAAGGCGGCGACGGGUAGCCGGCCUGAGAGGGUGGACGGCCACAUUGGGACUGAGAUACGGCCCAGACUCCUACCGGAGGCAGCAGUGGGGAAUAUUGCACAAUGGGCGCAAGCCUGAUGCAGCGACGCCGCGUGGGGGAUGACGGCCUUCGGGUUGUAAACUCCUUUCGCUAGGGACGAAGCUUUUUGUGACGGUACCUAGAUAAGAAGCACCGGCUAACUACGUG